CCACAAAACACAAAUUUGUCCAGCCACAUGUUCAGAAAUGUGGUUUGUUCCUUUAUGUUGACAGGCCCCGUUCUACGGUACUUCUGAAUGUACCCAGACCAACCUCCGAUAGAGCGGGUUUCCACCUUGGCACUAGGUGUGGUGUCAAAUAUGUGACUACUAUCGGUAGUAGAUACAUCUAAGCCGGUGAGCAUAAGCACAUCGGCAAGAGUGGGAGAAGCAGGGCCAUGACCGAAGACAAAAGCAUUAAGUGUGUCUGACCAGAAAUAUGAUGCAGCAAUCAGCAGUGAUUCAUUCCUAUGCAUAUCGGCAAGACAUAGCCUAAUGCACUGGUCUAGUUUUCGUUCGCCCCACUGAACCUCAUUCGAAUGGCUGACUCUCAAGAACCAAUCCUUCCAUCCCACAGUAGGACUGGGCCAGGAACGGAAGGUAUCUUUCCACAGAUCUAGAGAAAAAUUCUCGGCUCUAAAGGGGAUUCUGUUUGUUUUUGCGUUGAUAAGAUCGGUGGGAUCUGGGUUCCCUAGCGGACUGAGACAUUGGAGGUGUGGCUGAUCAGUAGGGAUGACAAUUUUAUUGGACAAAUCCUAAUGGUUUUUGGGGUAAAAAGAAGAACAAAAGAAAAAAAAAGAAUGUUCAGUAAAAUAAAUUGCGGAUGAACAAGGAUAUGGUAAAAGUACAAGAGGUACGGUGAUGAAUUGACCUCGGGAACAGCAAAGUUGAUGGCCAUCUCCUCGCGGAGAAGAUGAUCGAAGACUUUGAGGUUGGUGAAGAAAGGUCUUUGUUGGAGUUCUUGGAGCUCUCGAACAGCGCCGCCGCCAGAAAAGUGAAGUUGGAGCUGUAGAAUGAUUCGAUGGAGAAGGAGUACCCGAGAAGGAGCUAUUUAUAGGACAAAACGGGCAAGGCAAAUCUAACUUAUCUCUUCGCCGUAUCCGUAAAAUCCGAGAGUACUCAGGUGGAUAUGGUAACUGUUCGCACGGUAAUCAAGGGAUUGCGCAGGUGAUUUGACAGGAAGCGGUCAUAAUCUAGAGAUAUUUCACUGUGCGGGAUUUCCUGGUCGG
rnacentral:lncRNA from 1 species